rnacentral:rRNA from 1 species
GUGCCAGCGCCGCGGUAAUACCGGCAGUCCAAGUGAUGGCCGAUAUUAUUGGGCCUAAAGCGUCCGUAGCCUGCUGUGUAAGUCCGUUGGGAAAUCGGCCAGCUCAACUGGCCGGCGUCCAGCGGAAACUACACGGCUUGGGGCCGAGAGACUUGACGGGUACGUCCGGGGUAGGAGUGAAAUCCUGUAAUCCUGGACGGACCACCAAUGGGGAAACCACGUCAAGAGACCGGACCCGACGGUGAGGGACGAAAGCUAGGGUCUCGAACCGGAUUAGAAACCCGGGUAGUCC